rnacentral:rRNA from 1 species
AUGGAUCAGGAGCUGAUCGAGCACCUUGAGGCCAGAGUGAGUGCUGACAGCGUGAGAUCUCACCCUCUCAUCGAUUUGUUCAUACCAACCAUCGACAGCGAGCACGACAUAUGCUACACCCAUCCUGAGAAACUUCUAGGUAUCACACUGAGUGUCCUAAGCAAGCAUUUCUUCCAGCGCAAUUCCGGGGCGUUCAAAAGGGGCACGUGGACGCGUCGCAAGAUACAGUCGUACUGCGGCUUGCACGCGAUGUGGCACAAGACUGGCAAUACCUUGCCGGUGAUGGUCAAUGGCCGACAGACAGGCAUCAAAAACGUUCUGGUGCUGCACACCAACAAGAACUUUGACCAUUCCUGCAAAAAAAAAGAACUUCGACUAGCAAAGGACCAAUUGGGUGAUGCACCAGUACCACCACGGGGACCUGGAGCAAGAGAAGGAGCAGGAGCUGGUCCUCUGCAAGAUUUUCUACCAGACGAACACUAG